CCUACGGGAGGCUGCAGUGGGGAAUAUUGCACAAUGGGGGAAACCCUGAUGCAGCGACGCCGCGUGAGUGAAGAAGUAUUUCGGUAUGUAAAGCUCUAUCAGCAGGGAAGAAGAAAGACGGUACCUGACUAAGAAGCCCCGGCUAACUACGUGCCAGCAGCCGCGGUAAUACGUAGGGGGCAAGCGUUAUCCGGAUUUACUGGGUGGAAAGGGAGCGUAGACGGCUGUGCAAGUCUGAAGUGAAAGCCCAGGGCCCAACCCUGGGACUGCUUUGGAAACUGUGGAGCUAGAGUGCUGGAGAGGUAAGUGGAAUUCCUAGUGUAGCGGUGAAAUGCGUAGAUAUUAGGAGGAACACCAGUGGCGAAGGCGGCUUACUGGACAGUAACUGACGUUGAGGCUCGAAAGCGUGGGGAGCAAACAGGAUUAGAUACCCGGGUAGUC
rnacentral:rRNA from 1 species